rnacentral:rRNA from 1 species
GGAAUCUUGCGCAAUGGGCGAAAGCCUGACGCAGCGACGCCGCGUGGACGACGAUGCCCUUCGGGGUGUAAAGUCCUUUCGACCGGAACGAUAAUGACGGUACCGGUGGAAGAAGCUGCGGCUAACUACGUGCCAGCAGCCGCGGUAAUACGUAGGCAGCAAGCGUUGUUCGGAAUUACUGGGCGUAAAGAGUUCGUAGGCGGUGCGGCAAGUUCGGUGUGAAAUCUCCCGGCUCAACUGGGAGGGUGCGCUAAAUACUGCCGUGCUCGAGUAUAGGAGAGGUAAGCGGAAUUCCUGGUGUAGCGGUGAAAUGCGUAGAUAUCAGGAGGAACACCUGUGGUGUAGACGGCUUACUGGACUAUAACUGACGCUGAGGAACGAAAGCGUGGGUAGCAAAC